rnacentral:rRNA from 1 species
CGGGGGGCAGCAGUGGGGAAUAUUGGACAAUGGGCGAAAGCCUGAUCCAGCAAUGCCGCGUGAGUGAUGAAGGCCUUAGGGUUGUAAAGCUCUUUUACCAGGGAUGAUAAUGACAGUACCUGGAGAAUAAGCUCCGGCUAACUCCGUGCCAGCAGCCGCGGUAAUACGGAGGGAGCUAGCGUUGUUCGGAAUCACUGGGCGUAAAGCGUGCGUAGGCGGUGACUCAAGUCAGAGGUGAAAGCCUGGAGCUCAACUCCAGAACUGCCUUUGAAACUAGGUCGCUAGAACAUCGGAGAGGUGAGUGGAAUUCCGAGUGUAGAGGUGAAAUUCGUAGAUAUUCGGAAGAACACCAGUGGCGAAGGCGGCUCACUGGACGAUUGUUGACGCUGAGGCACGAAAGCGUGGGGAGCAAACAGGAUUAGAUACCCCGGU